UCGAAAAUUCAAUUAAGGACGUACAGAAACCUGAUUCACCUAUUAAAUGCAAAAUUUAUUUCGGCUCCCCCUCCCCCACCACGUCAGAUAAGUGAAACUUUCGAUCCCAUUAUACCCCUUAUAUCCCAACGAAAAUCUUCUUCAUUCGAACCGAACACAGCAGCGGCCAUCUUCCAACGGUAAUCUUCUUCUUCACUCGAACCGAACACACCAGCGGCAUUCCUGUCGUCUUCUUGCUCACCCCCUUCUUCAUCAUUCGAACCGAACGCAGUAGCAUCACCCCAUUCCUUAUUAUAACCGAACGCAGCAGAGGCGUCUCCGUCGUCUUCGGUCAACUCACCCCAGGCGAAACAUCUUCUUCCUGGAAGAACCGAUCCAACAGUAUCUUCUUCUUCCUCGAAGUUACCGUUCUUCCUCAUUUGAACCGAACACAACAGUUUCACCCCUGUUUCUCAGAGCCGAAAGAGUCGUUAAUCACCAGAGGUUCAUCUCUCAUUGCCGGAGCUACAACAUUUUCCCCAUUUUCAUAGUCGUUAAUCAACGGAGCUUCAGAGCUUCAUCUCUCAUCAUCGAAGGUCGUUAAUCACCGGAGUUUCAUCUCUCAUUGUCGGAGCUACAGCGUUUUCCCCAUUUUUCAUAGCCAUUAAUCACCGGAGCUUCGGAGCUUCAUCUCUCAUCACCGGAGGUACAGCGUGUUUUUCGGUGCUUUGAGUGCGGUCCUUACGACAACCAAUUAGGGAAAAAAAUGUAACAAAGUAAAUGCACGGGUGGCCAAACCAGAAUGAACCGGAUACACAGGCACUGUGCCAGAAACACAGGCGGUCUUUGUGCGAAUGACGAAGAAAAAGACGUUGCGGUAAAAUGCUUGACCUUCGAAAUUUAGCUUCGGUAAGUAAGAUGCUAUAGAGCUCUUGGUUCAAAUGAGGAAGAAGAAGAUGUUGCGGUAGCUUCGAAAUUUUAGCUUCGGUCAAUAAGAUGUUGCAUUCGGUUCGAAUGAGGAAGAAACUGAAACUGUUGUGUUCCAUUCGGAUGAGAAAGAAGACUAACCAAAGACGACAGAGACGUUGCUGGUUCGGUCAGCUCCCCCUCAGAAGUCGACAAUCGAAGAUGUUUCGCCUGGGGUGAGCAAGAAGAUGAUGGAGACGCUGCUGCGUUCGGUUAGGAAGAAGAAGACGUUGCUGGUUCGGUCAGCUUCCCCUCAGAAGUCGACGAUCAAAGAUGUUUUGCCUGGGGUGAGCAAGAAGACGAUGGGGAUGCCGCUGCUGUGUUCGGUUCGAAUGAAGAAGAGAAGAGGAUUACAGUUGGCCAAAUGGGGUGACGCUGCUGCGUUCGAUUCGAACGAGGAAGAAGGGGGUGAGCAAGAAGACGACGGGGAUGCCGCUGGUGUAUUAGGUUCGAAUGAAGAAGAAGAUUACCAUUGGCCGCUGCUGUGUUCGGUUCGAAUGAAGAAGAGAAGAAGAUUACCGUUGGCCGCUAGUGUGUCUAUUGUGUUCGGUUCGAAUGAAGAAGAGAAGAAGAUGGCCGUUGCUGUGUUCGGUUCGAAUAAUGAAGAUUACCAUUGGGACAUAAGGGGUAUAAUGGGAUCAAAAGUUUCACUUAUCUGACGUAACGGGGGGAGCCGAAUUGCUGCCCAAUCCAAAUACCAAACAUCAAAGAUUAUAGUUAAUACUUUUAUUUUAAAAGCUGUUUAAUACUUAAUUA